GAUGAACGCUAGCUACAGGCUUAACACAUGCAAGUCGAGGGGAAACGACAUCGAAAGCUUGCUUUUGAUGGGCGUCGACCGGCGCACGGGUGAGUAACGCGUAUCCAACCUGCCCAUCGCUUGGGAAUAACCUUGCGAAAGUAAGACUAAUACCCAAUGAUAUCCCACGAAGGCAUCGGAAUGGGAUUAAAGAUUUAUCGGUGAUGGAUGGGGAUGCGUCUGAUUAGCUUGUUGGCGGGGUAACGGCCCACCAAGGCAACGAUCAGUAGGGGUUCUGAGAGGAAGGUCCCCCACAUUGGAACUGAGACACGGUCCAAACUCCUACGGGAGGCAGCAGUGAGGAAUAUUGGUCAAUGGGCGAGAGCCUGAACCAGCCAAGUAGCGUGCAGGAAGACGGCCCUAUGGGUUGUAAACUGCUUUUAUAAGGGAAUAAAGUGGGUCACGUGUGACUUUUUGCAUGUACCUUAUGAAUAAGGACCGGCUAAUUCCGUG
rnacentral:rRNA from 1 species